rnacentral:rRNA from 1 species
GACGAACGCUGGCGGCGUGCUUAACACAUGCAAGUCGAACGGAAAGGCCCUGCUUUUGUGGGGUGCUCGAGUGGCGAACGGGUGAGUAACACGUGAGUAACCUGCCCUUGACUUUGGGAUAACUUCAGGAAACUGGGGCUAAUACCGGAUAGGAGCUCCUGCUGCAUGGUGGGGGUUGGAAAGUUUCGGCGGUUGGGGAUGGACUCGCGGCUUAUCAGCUUGUUGGUGGGGUAGUGGCUUACCAAGGCUUUGACGGGUAGCCGGCCUGAGAGGGUGACCGGCCACAUGGGGACUGGGAUACGGCCCAGACUCCUACGGGAGGCAGCAGUGGGGAAUAUUGCACAAUGGGCGGAAGCCUGAUGCAGCACCGCCGCGUGCGGGAUGACGGCCUUCGGGUUGUAAACCGCUUUCGCCUGUGACGAAGCGUGGGUGACGGUAAUGGGUAAAGAAGCACCGGCUAACUACGU